GAUGAAGAACGCAGCAAAAUGCGAUAAGUAAUGUGAAUUGCAGAAUUCAGUGAAUCAUCGAAUCUUUGAACGCACAUUGCGCCCGCUGGUAUUCCGGCGGGCAUGCCUGUUCGAGCGUCAUUUCAACCCUCAAGCCCCCGGGUUUGGUGUUGGGGAUCGGCUCUGCCUUCUGGCGGUGCCGCCCCCGAAAUACAUUGGCGGUCUCGCUGCAGCCUCCAUUGCGUAGUAGCUAACACCUCGCAACUGGAACGCGGCGCGGCCAUGCCGUAAACCCCAACUUCUGAAUGUUGACCUCGGAUCAGGUAGGAAUACCCGCUGAACUUAAGCAUAUCAAUAAGCGGAGGA
rnacentral:misc_RNA from 1 species